CGGCUGCGCAUGAGCCGGCGGCGGAGCCCGGGGCCAGCGGCUCCGGCCGGCCCUGCCCACCGCGGGAGCCCCGCCUCGGGCAGGUGCUUAAGGAGUAGUCAUAAUGAUAUAUUUGGGCUAACUGAAGCCUGCCUAUAAUGGAAGCUUGAUGAGUGUAGGAUUUCCCUUGGCUGGUUUCCAGGAUUUCCCUGCGGUUGUCAGUCCUUGAAACCAACAUUGUCUUCUGAAAAAGCUGAGAGCUGUGAAGGAACUGGAUCAGCACAAUUGUCACAGAAACUUGCUUGCUGUCUAGGCCAUGGUGCCCUAAUGCUGGUUGUGUUUGUGCCCCCAUCCUGGAAGAAUGCCUGCUAAUGCCUUCUUCGUGCCCAUCUGUGCCCAGCUGGCAGCAUAUUCUCUGCAGCGAUCCAGGCAGCCAAAAACUGUGACACAAGUCACAUGGAGUUUGUCUUUCUCCACCUGAGACAGUCUUCCAGUGUUAUCCUGGUCAGCUGUGUGUACUCAAAGGUUUUUGUGCACCAUACAACCUCAGUGUCAUGCCGUGUAAAUGGCGCUGUGGCAGGCUGGAUAACACAGGGUGUGAAACUCCUUAGGGUUCUGUCAAUCGACUUCAGCCUCCUGGGAAUCCAGCUCUGCAUGUCUCUCAUAGAAUUCACUGGUUUAGUGAGACUUCAAGCAAGGAAAGCAGUUCUGGACUGCUCAUUUCACCGUGCUCAGGUACUUGGGGAAUGGAUAAGGGCUGACUUGCAUGCAUGCACCCAUCCAGGCAGGCACACAUAGGGGCAUGCAUGUAUACACAAACCCAGACAAACCUUUUCUUCUAAGGCAGGUGCUGAGAUAGAUAUAUCUUGGAGUUUUCAUUUAAUAUUAAAUAGAAUUGAGACACCACUAAAGCUAAUCUUUCUCUUGGGUAUUCCUAGAUGUUUUCUCUUACACACAUUUGUUUCUCUGCCUCUGUCCCUUCUUCCCUAAAUGUUAGACUUUCUGUGUUUUUUGUUAUAUUCCUUAUAUUGAUACACAGAAGGUUCACAGUGUUUGCUUGGUAAGUUUUCAAAUGCUUUGUUCAAUUGGAGAGUUUUUUCUAGCUGUUUUUGUCACAGGGAAGUUGCUGUCCCCAGUGUGUUAUCCACGCCAUCCCAUAAGUGCAUAAGGUAAAAGAAUCCUGGCGUGCUACACCAAAGAGGAAAAUUUCUUGCUGAAAGUUCCCUAAAGCUUCUUCUGCUGAAUUUCCUUCUUUUUACAGUGCUUAAUGGACAUAAGGCAAAUAAAUCAGAGGCAAGAACCUAAUCACUUCCUUUAGCAAGUCAUAUCUACUAAUGACCUCUGCAAAGGGAGACACUUCAGUAGAUGCUCAGCUUGUGUGGUGUUAGUCUCAGUGGAGUAGGUUGGAAUUUUGGUCCUAGACAGGCAGAUAGAUUGCUGAACCAGCUCUGAUAACAAUUUAGGGAAAAAUAUCAUUGACUCUUGCUGAUGCUGAAUGAAAAUGGAGGUGGUAUUAUCUCAGGGAGUCCACUGGGUACGUACCCUUGGAGAUUCCUCCUUCCUCACCUGAGCUGGCUGCAGAACUAGACAACUUGACAAGAAUUUCUCUUCUGUUCCUCUGGGUAAGGAAAGCUCUCAGUUGAUGAUAGGGCAUCUCCAGCUCCCAGUGCUCUCAAACUAGCACCUUCACUGAUUAUUCAAUUCACCUGAAAACAAAAGGAAAAAAGUAGAUUUACAAGAAAACGAGAGACUCCAGUGAUUUGUGUGAGAAUGAGAUAUAAAAUUACCAGUUGGUUUUUUUUUUUCCUUUGAACUGAACCCAGGAACCUCAGUAGAGUUUACCCUAUUUAAAGCAUUAAUUAGGGAGCUGACUGUACAUAAAGAUAAAACAGAACUCCUAAAAAAGUCUCCAGGGACUCCAAAAAACCCAGGUUUGUCUACAUGAGGCAAAAGAAUUUUAAUUAGCUGCAACUGAAUUGAAGUGAACUGAUAUGAGCAACAAAAAGAGAAUUUAUCCCACAAUGUAUUCAGAGAACAUAAUUGAAUGUUCAUUAGCUAAGAGUUAUAUACUGACUGUUAAUGAGCAGAAAUGAAUAUGUAUUAUUUCUUAUUAAGCUGGAAAUGUAUGGAACUAAUUGCAUUUAAAUAUAGUAGCUAUAAAGCUGUUUAUUAACAGUCACUGCUAAGAAGAGGAAAGACAUAGGUGAAUUUAUAUUCUUUACUGCAGUAUCAUUUUAAAUAUUCAUUAUGCUAAGUGGUAUUAAUACAUAGUUUUUCAGGGAAAUGGUUAUUAUGUAGUGCUAGUAGGGCUCGGUGAUGCCUUCAUUUGGAUAGGAUUUAUGCUUUAUUUACUUUAAAUUAGGGAAGGCAGCACAAACAAACAGAAGCUCUCAGAUUCCUCCAAGGCAGUGUUAUUAUUGCUUCUCAGGAUGAGGGUCCUCUGUUACUCAUGAUCAAAUGACACUUGGCUUCUUGAUAUCUUACCUUGCUAAUAAUCUCAGGAGAGAGUUUGGUAAUGUUUCUUUGUUGCAGAUGUACAGGAGAGAGCCAUCUUGUGAGUAGGUGUGGUGACAGAAGACCAGAGUAAUUUGUAUUAACACACAGGGUGUGCUGUGCACGCACCCAGCAAGGGCCCAUGGCUGCCCAGGAAAGCCUGUGCUUAUGUGGUGACAUCCUGAUCUGAGCCUCAGAGGGAAUUGGAGGGGCAUGGUGGGCACUCUGUCUGGUGAGGGACACAGAGAAGUGUGUGGGGGUGAGCAGUUGCAGGGUUGUUUAGGUUGGAAGGGUUCCCUUUGGAGCAUUUAGUUAGUGAGGGGUGCAUGAAGAAGGGAAGGGUGGAAGGAAGGAAUGAUGUAGCUGCCCAUCCUUAGGGCAAGGUGUGCAAUGGAAACUCUGGUGUCCAACAGCUCCUUGGCCUUGGAGUUUUGUCUGAUGAGGGGUGGUGACUUUGCCUGAACAUUUUAUGGCUUUUGCCCUGAUUUCAGUGGUGUUUUGGUAAAGGAGGGGGAUAGCAGACAGAUGGAGAAGGAAAGGAGCAGUGACACCCUGAGUGGAUGCAGAGCAGCAGGGAAGAAAGGAGUACCACAAAGAGGAAGCUCCGUAAAAAUAACUCAGUAGAAGUGUGAUGCCUUCCCAGUGCUGAGCUAGCCUGUUUCCUCUGGAGCUGCUGUGGAGUGCUGGACCAAGACACCCCUGCUCCUGUCUGCAAACUUCACUGGCAUCUGCAAACAAAUUUGGAUUUACACCCACGAUUAUUCUUUGCAGUUAAAAGGCUGUAUUUUCUGUAUGGCAAAAAUAGGUGUUUUCAUCCUUCUGCUCUGUUUGAAAUGGAAGGAUGUUUUGGGCCUGCAGUCAGGGAUUAACACACCUUUGAGCUAGUCUGUACAUUUGACAUCAGUGCUUUAGGCAGUGAGUUUGUGAAAUUUAGAUUACUGUUUUCCUGCUUACAUAGAAAAAUAUCUUGCUUGUUCUGAUUUGAAUUAGAAUUAUUUUUAAUUUUGAAAUUUAUCCUUUUCUGACAAAAUUAUUAUAGGUUAUUAAAGUAACCAGCAGACCUACCUUUUUAUUAACCUGAAUUUCUGUUUGUUAAUUGUACAGAUGUGUUUUUACUACAGGAUUCUUUAGCAGCAGCAACAACUGCACGUUCACUUUCAGGAAGAUUGUAACUUUCCCCCUGUUCACAAGAGGGCGAUAAAUCCCCAAUGAUCUUUAUGCAGCCUCUAGUAUGUGUUCAGUACCUCACUGCAGAACGUCAUAAAGACCAACUUGCUGUCAGAAAACUGAUAUAUAUGUAUAUGAUCUGUAUGAAAUAUUGUGAUGCCUUUUAUUUUGGUUUAUGUGGAGUUUAAGCUAUGCUCUGUUUAUUUCUUUCCACUGCAGAUCCUACUGUGAGUAGAAACUAGAUGUGGAAAAGUUAUUUAUAAUAUCCACACACUACAAAUGUUUUCUUUGUGGUACACAUACAGGUAUUAAAUUCAGACAAAUGUCAAGCACAUAAUAAAAAAGUGAUUUUGAGCACAGCAUUCAGGACAAUUUCCCAUAACUGAAAUGUUUCUGUGUAUGUUUAUUUCUUCCUCAUAUUGAAACUUUCUUUGGUAAUCAGAACCUUCUGUUUCUUAAUGUUAAUAUUUUUCCUUAAUUAAAGUAUAUUUUGUUUUGAACCUUCCCUUUGAAUAUAAUGUUAUUUCAUCUAAAAUCAAGCCUCUUGUGGUGAUAGUAUCAGUAUGGACAGCUGUCAUAAGAACUGCAAUUUCUCUUUUUUUGUUGACAGUUUUAACAUUUAUUAACAUGCUAUUAUAUUUCCAAUAUUUAUAUUUAUUCACAUUCACUAUAUCUUUUUAAUAGUUUCUAUUUCACAUUAUCAUAAUAAGAAUGAUUUCAGGAGUCUUACAUGGAAUAAAGAAAAGAAAA